AGCCAAGAUUGAAAUACAUUAGCAAUGCACAGUGCAUUGCUAAUGU
rnacentral:lncRNA from 1 species